CAGUAGCCACGGUAAUACGUAGGUCCCGAGCGUUGUCCGGAUUUAUUAGGCGUAAAGCGAGCGCAGGCGGUUAGAUAAGUCUGAAGUUAAAGGCUGUGGCUUAACCAUAGUACGCUUUGGAAACUGUUUAACUUGAGUGCAAGAGGGGAGAGUGGAAUUCCAUGUGUAGCGGUGAAAUGCGUAGAUAUAUGGAGGAACACCGGUGGCGAAAGCGGCUCUCUGGCUUGUAACUGACGCUGAGGCUCGAAAGCGUGGGGAGCAAACAGGAUUAGAUACCCCUGUAGUCCCUGUCUCUUAUACA
rnacentral:rRNA from 1 species